rnacentral:rRNA from 1 species
CGCGUAGGCGGUUUGGUCAGUCAGAUGUGAAAGCCCCGGGCCCAACCUGGGAACUGCAUUUGAUACUGCUGAACUAGAGUGUGGUAGAGGGAAGUGGAAUUCCGGGUGUAGCGGUGAAAUGCGUAGAGAUCCGGAGGAACAUCAGUGGCGAAGGCGGCUUCCUGGACCAACACUGACGCUGAGGUGCGAAAGCGUGGGUAGCAAACA